UUUUAUGAGAGGUUUUUUGUUGGUUUUUGUUUUUGUUUUUUCUUAUUAGGCCAGGACCCCAAUUCCCAAGACAGCCUUUUCUCUCCCUUGUUUAAGGAAGACCCAGCUCCAAAGCUUUAGGUUAGCAUGACUCAUUGCUGCCGAUUAGGCCCCCUUCCAUCUCGUGGAUAGAGGUCAUUCUAGUAUCCACGGCAUGUAUGAAAUCUAGAGAACUCAAAAGUUAUCGACAACAGUGGGACAAGCAGCGCAUGGGUAAUGGUGGAUAACUCGCACCCUGUAAGCCCCCUGUUAACAUAGGUGAAAGCUGCACUGGCACCCAUGGGUGGUAACCUGCCAAGAUCACCAGGACUCAGGGAUAUAAGAACAGAAGAAAGAAAGAGGACACUUUUCUCCUCUCCCUCAUGUACCUCAGGUAUUUACUAGGAAAAAGAAGAAACUAGGGAUGCCUUGCUCCCCUCUUCUUAGUAACUACCCUGGACAUUUCAUCAUUCACAGACAAAUGUCUUCUUUUGAUCCUACUCAAAAGAUGAUUUAUAAUCAGCUACAGGAUUUUGACAAGUGUUCUCAAAUGCAAGAUUCCAUUAGCUCUGGAGAUUAUGACAUUGAAAAAAAUACAGUACUCAUAAAGAACUGAAAUGUUCAUGAAUAUCAAGCAGAAUAAGAGAACAGAAUGGAUUGAACUAAUAGAAAACAAGUAUUAUUUUUAACCUUUUUGCUUAAAACUUUGGUGAUCCUUGCUUUGUUUUUCUGAGUCAAGAAUACUUAUUUUGAACUAUUUAAAGCCUUUAAUAAUUGAGUAAACUAUACACCUGUGAACAAAAUUUGAAGGAUGUUUGUUUCUCUCUGCCUGGCUUUGCCAGAAUUUGGAAACUAUUUGUGAGAAUAUUUAAUUUAUGGCAAUUCAGUUAUUUUCAUCAGUGCAAUAAGAAUACAUUUUCUUUUGCAACAGGACACAAUUGAAGAAACUGGUGGUUUUACCAAGGCUUUUAC
rnacentral:lncRNA from 10 species